UGUCUUCACCUGCCGGCUACCUCUAUAAACCAUGGGAAAUGGUGACAUCCAGCAACACUUAUCUAGUCUAAACACCACGUCUACAUUAGUAAGCCAUACUCUACCAUCCCGCGCGGAGCCCCCACCCUCCGGAUGGACAGACAUCACACUAGAGCAAAUAUACAAAUACUGGAGCAGUUGAUAGAGUUCUAAAGCCAAUAUGUUAACCAUAGCAAGCACAGGGCGAUCAUGCAAUGCAAGCAUCGAAUGAUAACGCAACUAGAUCACUAAGCAUAUAUCUGAUAACUCAAAAUAUACUUCAAGCAUAUAUCGGUAACCAUAGUCUAAUUCUAUUACAAACGACCGAAUAUUACAAGAGAGGACUAGAGAUGAAUUCAUACCAGAACUCCCGAGCAACUCCGGGGACUCGAUGACUCCUAGACUUCUCCUAAACUCCGCUAAGCUUAUAGACUAAGCAAGAAUGCCUUGAGAUGAGUGAGAGGUGUGGGGGGGGGGGUGUGUGUGUGAGUGUGUGUGUGUGUGUGUGUUCAUUCCUUACCCCCUCCCCUUGUAUUUAUAGGAGGGAGCCACGCCGACAUGAGCUUCAUCUGCAGCUGAUCCUUGGUGAACCGACUUAAGGAGCCAAUGCCUUUCCUCCACGUGGCAAGUUGAGGCGGUGGGGCUCGUGGGUCUGGUCGGCCGACCAGGGUGGUCGACCGUCUUGCCCAGGACGCCAACCGCCCCAAAGUGUCGGGGGUUGGGCUUGUCUGGGCCUCCUCUUAUCCUAACACCGAGGCUUGGCCUGUCUUGAGUGGAUUUGGUCUGAUCUUUGGACUUCACUUAGUCCAUUUGCGCCUGAAUUUGUGCUUUGAUAUUUUUUGUGAUUUUCUAUUGGGCCAAAGUGUGCUUGCAACCUGCAUAUUAGGCCAAAAACACAUCUUGCAUUUUUCUAAAGGUGAAGUGUGAUUUAGGGGUUUAUUUGAAUAAAGGUGUGUGUAAGAAAUGCAAACUCUCAUGAUUUUCUGAUCAAGUUGACGCCUGGAAAUGGUCAUUAGUGAGCGUCAAGAAUUACCAUCAUGUACAACUAUUAGCAGUUUAUAGCUUUAUGUGUGCAUGUUCCUGUCAUAUUGCAAGCCAGCAAAGAGUUUACCAUGGUUAUGCAGAAGAAGCUCAAAAAUAGUUGUAUGUGUAAAUCAACUUGGGUGAAUUGUUCUCUCAAAGGUCAGUUAUCAAUGUGCAAAAUUUUCUCUUCAGAAUUUCUCACUUUCAAUUGUUCCAUACACAUUUUUUUCUCCAACUAUUUUUUUUGAGUGGCUCUCCAACUAUUUCCUGAUCUGUGUGGUUGGAGCUUAGGCCUGAACCAGGUGAGCGAUUCCCCAUCCUCCCUGCGCUCCCCCCCCCUCAAAUGACUGGAUCCACUUCCCAUCAGUGUUUUUUGUUGGUUUUUCAGCUUUGGAAAUGAAGUUUGCUGUUAGGAGAAAGCUCACACACCAGCACGAAAAGCGUUCAAGUAACUAUUGUGGGAAUCCCACAUGUUGAUGCAUGCUCAACAUUGGGGACGGGCGUUUAGUGUGCAACAUUCAAGAAAAAGGCAUUUGCAACAUUCUAAAGAUCCUGACGCACAUAUGGCUUAAUUUGAAGAAAAUGACAGUUGAAAAGCAUUCUGAAUUUGGCAUAGGCUCUACAGUAGUGGACUCAAAUCAAGUUCUACAACAGUGGACUCUACAUCAACAUAUCUGUCUAGAUUCUCAGUUUCUCAGAUACACUUGUUAAUUUUUUGUAACUGAAGUUCUACUGUUUUUGUAUCUGGGGGAUAUAUUUUUCCCGGAGGAUCUUGUUGCCAGAACCUAGAACAAAGUUGAAUACGA